GAGUUUGAUCCUGGCUCAGGACGAACGCUGGCGGCGUGCUUAACACAUGCAAGUCGAACGAAAAGAGGGAAAGAGCUUGCUCUUUCCGGAAUUGAGUGGCAAACGGGUGAGUAACACGUAAACAACCUGCCUUCAGGAUGGGGACAACAGACGGAAACGACUGCUAAUACCGAAUAAGUUCCAAGAGCCGCAUGGCCCAUGGAAGAAAAGGUGGCCUCUACCUGUAAGCUAUCGCCUGAAGAGGGGUUUGCGUCUGAUUAGCUAGUUGGAGGGGUAACGGCCCACCAAGGCGACGAUCAGUAGCCGGUCUGAGAGGAUGAACGGCCACACUGGAACUGAGACACGGUCCAGACUCCUACGGGAGGCAGCAGUGGGGAAUCUUCCGCAAUGGGCGAAAGCCUGACGGAGCAACGCCGCGUGAAGGAAGAAGGUCUUCGGAUUGUAAACUUCUUUUGUCAGGGACGAAGAAAGUGACGGUACCUGACGAAUAAGCUCCGGCUAACUACGUGCCAGCCGCCGCGGUAAUUC
rnacentral:rRNA from 1 species